rnacentral:rRNA from 1 species
CAUAUGCUUGUCUCAAAAGAUUAAGCCAUGCAUGUGUCAGUAUAAGUAUUAUAUAGCGGAAACUGCGAAUGGGCUCAUUACAUCAGUCAUAAUUUAUUUGAUAUUUGAAAGUUACAUGGGAUAACCGUGGCAAUUCUACAGCUAAUACAUGCGUUCAUACCCGACUUUACGGAAGGGUAGUAUUUAUUAGAUAUUAAACCAAUCCCCUUCGGGGUUGCUG